rnacentral:lncRNA from 1 species
CAAUAGAUAUUACUGGUAUUUACCGGAAUUUACAUGAUCAAGGGCUCCAAGUGAACCUAUACUGAUGAAUGUACCUCCAAAUGAUAGGGAACUGUUUACAUGUUUUCAUACAUCUAAACUGUAUUAAACAAGUUUUUACCUAUGACAAAAUAUUAGAUACAGCCAUAGUGAAUGGGUGAGAUAGUGGUUCUCACGGGGGGGGGGGGGCAACAUUUUCUUUCAGUAUAGUCGGAAUUGCAUCCUAAGGUUUCCACAGAGAAUAAGUUAUUCAGUAGCUAUUUUAAGCCCUUAUGCUGUGAAGUCAGGCCAGUUUAAGAAAACACGCAAUAAUAUUAGAACCAUGUUGAACAAAGCACAUUACCUUUUCAGUAAAGACUUCUAAAGAUUUUAAGUUGCUUUACAGCAUUACAAAGUCAUUCACAAAGUACAGGGACUACAUAGUACAACCCUUUUAAGAUUUAGAACCCAACAAGAAGCUUGCAAAAUUUAGCUGUAAGCAACUUUAAAUAAAGGCAGAUAACUGAACCGAAAUACAGACCUUGGGAAACUCUUUCUUCUGCAUUCCUGUUCGUUUAAAAGAAGUUGAUAAGUGACUGAAUUACUGAAGCUACAAUGUGACCUUGCGCUGAAAUUCUCCAAUGUUACUGCUUAGCAAAAAAAAAAAAAAAAGUCUGUGAUUUGGUGAAGUCUAAUAUACAGAGAAGGAUUUUAGCGUUCUUUAUUUGAGAAGUGAUGCAACAAAGCCAGUUGGAAUAUUUCUGACUCUGAAAUUCAUUAACAAUUUCAAGUACAGUGGAGGGGAUUUGCAUGACCUCAUAACAGCCACAAGAGCUGAGGUCGGUGCGUGGGGGAAAUGGCUCUUCUGAAGCAGAACAUGACAAAUCUACAACUCCACUCCAAGUCCUGUACUACUCCAGAAGCCUCAAACACAAUGGACAGGAACACAACCCCACAGCAGCUUUUUCCAUUUUAAGUAGACCAAGAUCGGCCUGCCUGCUCUCGUACAACAUGGCAAUCUGAAGAUGCUAUUCCAAUGGUAUUUCAAUACAGAAUUAGCCCAUCUACAGCUAGAAAACUUAAGUACUGUCCGGAG